rnacentral:rRNA from 1 species
AACUAACGCUAGCGGCGUGCCUAACACAUGCAAGUCGUACGAGAAAGUCGGCUUCGGCUGAUGAGUAAAGUGGCGCACGGGUGAGUAACGCGUGGAUAAUCUACCCUUAAGUUUGGAAUAACGUACCGAAAGGUGCGCUAAUACCCAAUAAUACUAUCUUCACCACGGUGGGAUAGUCAAAGAUGGCCUCUAUUUAUAAGCUUUCACUGAAGGAUGAGUCCGCGUACCAUUAGCUAGUUGGUAGGGUAAUGGCCUACCAAGGCCCUGAUGGUUAGCUGGUCUGAGAGGAUGAUCAGCCACACUGGAACUGAGACACGGUCCAGACUCCUACGGGAGGCAG